rnacentral:lncRNA from 1 species
UGUACACUGCGAUAUCACCGUUUUGUAGAACUUCUUUAGCUGCAGUAUGCCCAUAGCAGCAACUUACAUAUUCAAUUGCUCCUGUAGUGAGAAUAAUUAUUCUGUCUAUUUAAAUGAAGUUUAUAUCUUAAAAUAAAAGAUAGUUAUCUUUCUGGAUUUCCGGUUUAUCUCUUGAAUGGAAAGACACCAUGUCGAAGUACCCACGGUUAAUUUUUUACUUCACAUCAAUAUGUACAAAUCGCUAAUUUGAAUAUGAUGCUUAACCUAGAAUAGUAUAUAUUUAUAUAUAUAUAUAUAUAAAUUGGAGUAUUAUCUCAAGUAAAUAAGACACAGCUGAUUAGUUUCUCGGUUUGACCAGUCACCCUGGUUUUCUAACCUAAACCACUUCUGCUAACUUUAACAAUAGCACGUAAACUAUCUUUGGAACCUUCAUUUUCGGGAUGACCAAGUCCUUUACCUGCAUACCAUCCUAACUUUUCGAGCAACCGACGACCUGGAUUUUCUUUGCUAAUUUCAGGGGCAUCUUCUCCAACAAUUUGGCCAUCAUAUACACGUGUGGCUUUACUCGACCUCACAGAGGAAACAGUCAUUCGAGAUUUCCUACCAGAUUUGGAAAAUGACUGAUACUCAACCCUGGUCUGUAAACGCUCCAUAAUCCUGGUAAGUGAAACCAAAUCCACACUAGAUGCAUCAAAUUUAUGAGUUUUGGAAAGCAUAGUAUACCGCUUGUUUCCAGAUCCAUAACUUCUCGACUUCAAGUUCAAAUCGUUGGCAAGCGCAUGAACCAAUCGACGAACAUAUUUUCUGCAUGGAGGAAGGGAAAUUUCUUCAAUGGCCGAGUGCUUAAACUGUUGCAUCCGUUGAUAAACAUCAUUUAUAAAUAUCUUAUCAAUUCGUGUAAGACUAGCAUUGUCAGAAUCGGAAGAAGACGGCUUCUGGCUUUCGCGCAAAAGUUUCUUUUUGCUUUUCUUUCCAAGUAGCCCCUCAGAGCGGAGUUUCUCCCUUUCCGCUCGUCUUCUUGCCUUUUUGCUUUUAUCUUUAAGCCAUUGUUCUUGCAAUUCAGCGUACAAGUUCAUGCUCUCAUCGUCCAAAGAAUUGGAAAAGGCAUCUCCCAUUCUAGCGGCCACAGCCUUUCCUGCCUUUCUCUCUAAUUUCUUUUGAGCUUUACGCAUUUUUUUAGGAAGUUUGCGAUCUUUUUUCAAACCUUUUUCUUCUUUUACCUUCGCCCCUUUUUUGCUUUGAGAAACUUUUUCCGUUUUUUGAGUUGAGGGGUUAUUGUACUCUUCAUCCUCACUGUCAUAAUCAUAAAUAGUAAAAUCAUUUUGCAAAGUAUCUCCAAUACUAAGGUAUGCCUCAAUCUCGGAAUCAUCACUAGCAUCAAAAAUUGCCAAAAGCUCUUCUUCAUCUUCAUCUUCAUCUUCUUCCAAAAUAUCAUCUUCAUCUUCGGCUAAUGAAUCUGUAUUUCCCACAAGUUCCGUCGUUAACUUAGCAUAAUCAUAGUCAUCUGAUCCCUCAUCAAAUUCUAAAGAUUCCGAAUCUUCAAGUGAAAAAUUUACUUUACCCUCUGUCUCAUCGUAAUUUGAUAUUUCAGGUUUUUCUUUCUCCUCUUCCUCCUCUUCUUUCUCUCCUUCUAGCUCUUCAUCUUCGUCCUCAUCAUCAUCAUCUUCUUCUAAAACGGAGAGGUCGGCAAACUUGUUCAUAGUAAACGUAGUCAUUUUAUCGGUGGUGUCAUCAAUAUCAAACUCGUCUUCAUUUUCGGUACUCAACUGCUCCUGUGCCUGAGCCAAAGGCGGUGGAGGUGCAGCGUUAUUGUUAGCAAUAUCAUCAUUGACCAAGUUUGGAACAUUUAGUAUGUCUAAAGAGUCAUCAUUAUCUUUAGAAUAUAACUCCUUCUCAGAUUCUUGUUCUUUGUAACACAACUGCUCACUUUCUUCUGUAGAUGAAAUUUCCUUAUCACUUGGUGCAAGAUUUAAAGAAUGCUGAAUCAAAACAUUUUCGUUCAUGCUUUUCUCAGGAAAACUUGAAACUUCUACAUUCUUGGUGGUAUCAAACGCUUCCGCAUAUUCCGGAAUUUUCUUUACUUUCAAUGUAUCACCUUUCGAAGUAAUUGCUUUAAAUAACACAAUGUCCAACGCCUUUAUUUCACCGGUUUUUGAUAAAUCUUCGCAGGACUUAACGUUGGUUUCCUUGGGAAGCAUAAUCUCUUUGCUUUGGUGCUUAGCUUCAUUGUGGGCAUUUUGUUCAUCGAUUAAUUGACACAAUUCUUCCGCCGGGUUGUAAUUGUCCUUAGCACGUAUAAAGGUAAUUCGGGGCCAUUGUGAAAUUCGACUACUAGGGUUUAAACCAAAAGGGCUUUUAGAAUUAUUGGAUCCCUUAAAUCUUCGGAUUCGUGUAUCACCACGAAACCUGGCAGAAGUUUGUAACUGAUCUAAAAUCUGUAGAUCAUCAAAAUUUGACAUUGAGGGAUACAAGUCAAAAAAUAUGAUAAAAAAAAUAAUAUAUAAUUGUUUUAAUAAAUAAUGAUGGUGAAAUCCUAAAUUGUGAG